rnacentral:rRNA from 1 species
UACGUAGGGUGCGAGCGUUAAUCGGAAUUACUGGGCGUAAAGCGUGCGCAGGCGGUUUUAUAAGUCUGAUGUGAAAUCCCCGGGCUCAACCUGGGAACUGCAUUGGAGACUGUAAGGCUAGAGUGUGUCAGAGGGGGGUAGAAUUCCACGUGUAGCAGUGAAAUGCGUAGAUAUGUGGAGGAAUACCGAUGGCGAAGGCAGCCCCCUGGGAUAACACUCACGCUCAUGCACGAAAGCGUGGGGAGCAAACAGG